GUCCAGGGUAGCCUAGUGGACAUGGCAUCUGCCCGGUAAGCGGAACACUGUGGGUUCGAUUCCUAUUCCCUGGACA
rnacentral:tRNA from 1 species